CCUGAAUGUUCCUUCUUAGUUCUUCAUGAACCUUUCUUCUUUUUGUUGUGCUCAGUGUCGGAGUUGGGGCCUGAGGACACCGGUCGGAAAAUAGUCGAGAUCAUAUUCCAAUCGAGUUGGCUCAAGAAAAGAACACCAGCUUGCAGAAUAGAGAGGAUCCUCAAAGUCCACAACACUUCCAAGACGAUGGCGAGGUUCGAGGAUUACCGGGACUCCAUAAAGAGCAAAGCCAGCAAGCUCGCGAAGAGGCAUCCGAGAUCCACCGCCGACGGCAACGAGCUCUUGAGGUUUCACUGCACAACCUUCAGGUGCACCCUCGGCUUGAACGGAGCCACCAACCUGUGCGACUCGAUUC
rnacentral:lncRNA from 1 species